rnacentral:rRNA from 1 species
AGUGAACGCUGGCGGUAGGCCUAACACAUGCAAGUCGAACGGCAGCACAGUAAGAGCUUGCUCUUACGGGUGGCGAGUGGCGGACGGGUGAGGAAUACAUCGGAAUCUACUUUUUCGUGGGGGAUAACGUAGGGAAACUUACGCUAAUACCGCAUACGACGUACGGGUGAAAGCAGGGGAUCUUCGGACCUUGCGCGAUUGAAUGAGCCGAUGUCGGAUUAGCUAGUUGGCGGGGUAAAGGCCCACCAAGGCGACGAUCCGUAGCUGGUCUGAGAGGAUGAUCAGCCACACUGGAACUGAGACACGGUCCAGACUCCUACGGGAGGCAGCAGUGGGGAAUAUUGGACAAUGGGCGCAAGCCUGAUCCAGCCAUACCGCGUGGGUGAAGAAGGCCUUCGGGUUGUAAAGCCCUUUUGUUGGGAGAGAAAAGCAGCAGGUUAAUACCCCGCUGUUCUGACGGUACCCAAAGAAUAAGCACCGGCUAACUUCGUG